CCUACGGGAGGCAGCAGUCGAGAAUCAUUCACAAUGGGGGAAACCCUGAUGGUGCGACGCCGCGUGGGGGAAUGAAGGUCUUCGGAUUGUAAACCCCUGUCAUGUGGGAGCAAAUGAAGAAGAUAGUACCACAAGAGGAAGAGACGGCUAACUCUGUGCCAGCAGCCGCGGUAAUACAGAGGUCUCAAGCGUUGUUCGGAAUCCCUGGGCGUAAAGCGUGCGUAGGCUGUUGCGUAAGUCGUGUGUGAAAGGCGCGGGCUCAACCCGCGGACGGCACAUGAUACUGCGAGACUAGAGUGAUGGAGGGGGAAUCGGAAUUCGCGGUGUAGCAGUGAAAUGCGUAGAGAUCGAGAGGAACACUCGUGGCGAAGGCGGGUUCCUGGACAUUUACUGACGCUGAGGCACGAAGGCCAGGGGAGCGAAAGGGAUUAGAUACCCGAGUAGUC
rnacentral:rRNA from 1 species